GUCCUAGUCAGAUGCCCCAUAGUGGGCGU
rnacentral:sRNA from 1 species